CUGAUUUCGCCGUUGUCAACGAACCCUACCUGCUAGAGGAAUUAAGGAUUCAAGCCCCAAUUGAUUUGCUGGAAGCUCGAUUCAACGGUGUUGUCGAUGAUUCACCCAUGCCCAAAUAUGAAAUUGGUGUCGGCCUAGAUGAAGAGAUGCUGAUGGAAAUUGAAUUGAGAAUUCAAGAAGAAAUUGAUUUGCUGGAAGCUCGAUUCAUCGGUGCUACCUCAGAUCCGUGAGACGGUGGUUUAAGCCACCACCAGCUUGCAAUUGACUCAAACUCCAUCUUAAUCUUGCUACUUUGUUCUGAUCAGUAAGUGUGGGUUUGAUCGCAUUUGUAUGUGGCCUUAACUGCUUAUCUUUAAUCCAUUCAUGUAGUUUGCUCUUGCUGACACCCAACUUGUAUGCCAUAGUUCUUAUGCUAGAUCUUUCAAGAACAGAGAGACUUUUUACCUUAUUAACAUCGAGCUGCCAUUUGUCCAUGUGUUGUUUUUUCUUGUUUGGUAAAAAGUGCACAGGAUUCCCCUUUUGUUGCUGCUCCUUGACUGCUGUCCAAAUAGUCCUCACAGUUCUUGUGGAUAUUGCAAACUUCUCUACUGCCUCCUGUUGAACUCUGCGCCUUGGUGUUCCAUUAAUGGUGUUUUGCAUCAAAAACUGAGCCAAUAAAUUCUUCUCAUCACUAGUUAGACAAUGAGGCCUCCUAUAAUCCGCCAUUGGUGUUUUGUGUAAUGAAUGCAGUACUUGUGUAUUUAUUGUGUAAUUGUAAUGGGUUUGGCAGAUUAGAUUUUAGUUGUAGCUUUAAAAUUUCCCUCCAACUUUUUAAUCACAUCAAAGUGGAUUGAGAAA